UACGAAGGGGGCUAGCGUUGCUCGGAAUCACUGGGCGUAAAGCGCACGUAGGCGGAUUCUUAAGUCGGAUGUGAAAACCCGGAGCUCAACUCCGGGCCUGCAUCCGAUACUCCCGGACUAGAGGUAGGUAGGGGAGAUCGGAAUUCCUGGUGUAGCGGUGAAAUGCGCAGAUAUCAGGAGGAACACCGGUGGCGAAGGCGGGUCUCUGGGCCGAUACUGACGCUGAGGAGCGAAAGCGUGGGGAGCGAACAGG
rnacentral:rRNA from 1 species